AUUGAACGCUGGCGGCAUGCCUUACACAUGCAAGUCGAACGGCAGCGGACCUUCGGGUGCCGGCGAGUGGCGAACGGGUGAGUAAAGUAUCGGAACGUACCUUUCAGUGGGGGAUAACGUAGCGAAAGUUACGCUAAUACCGCAUAUUCUGUGAGCAGGAAAGCAGGGGAUCGCAAGACCUUGCGCUGAUUGAGCGGCCGAUAUCAGAUUAGCUAGUUGGUGAGGUAAAGGCUCACCAAGGCGACGAUCGGUAGCGGGUCUGAGAGGAUGAUCCGCCACACUGGAACUGAGACGCGGUCCAGACUCCUACGGGAGGCAGCAGUGGGGAAUUUUGGACAAUGGGGGCAACCCUGAUCCAGCCAUGCCGCUUGAGUGAAGAAGGCCUUCGGGUUGUAAAGCUCUUUCGUCCGGGAAGAAAUCGCAUCAGCUAAUACCUGGUGUGGAUGACGGUACCGGAAUAAGAAGCACCGGCUAACUACGUGCCAGCAGCCGCCGUAACAC
rnacentral:rRNA from 1 species